CGACUCCCCUGUUCUCACUGUCCUCUUCCAGAUCCCCCACCCUCCCCAUCCAUGGCCGCCGCCACCUCCUCAUCCAUGGCCAUCUUCCAGGAGUAGAUCCACCAACCGCCGUGAUGAUAGCCUCGUUCCCAGAGGCGGGACGCCCCUGAAGGCGAACCUAGUGCACGCGGCGCCGAUGCCGUUAAUGCGGGUCGGGCGGCGGCCAGAUCUGCCAUGGCCACAACCAACGUCCUCUCCCUGCCUAGCCAUCUUCCUCCCAUGAAUGAGAAGAGGGCCUCGUCAAGGAUCCCAUGGUGGAGGUCAACAUGGGAGGCUGCUUCGUUCCUUCCCAGAUUGACCGUCCAUCAAUGGAGGCCAUGAGAGCUGCGUGAGCACACACAUGGCUGCGCUUCAAGCUGCAGGUCAAUAGAUGCAGGGACGCCACAAUGGAGCAAGUAAGGUGUCCCUUCUCCCACUGUUUCUUCAGAUCCGCAACGGCCAGCCAUAUCCGGCGCCCCUGUACCAACGUGGUGAGGUGGAAGAAAUUUCUUGAGGCCAAACCGCAGGGAGGACGACGGUCAACAAUGGGUACAGGUUCUUAAGGUCCCAGGGAACUGGGUACAGGUGCGGCUGCGUGCUCGCUGCGCAUCCAAGGCAACGUCGCGUCAUUCCUCGGGAGCAUAUGUUGAGGCGAUAUGCUGGCUUUCCUUCAAUGAUGUCGGCAGCGGUAGCUGGAUCUGUGUCCAGGAUGGCAUGGGAUUGACCCAUGGUUGAUGUCUAUUGAGCGCUGGGCGGCAGUGACUGUAAAGUAGCAUAGAGUGUUCUCUAGCACUUGUUUGUACAUUGAAGUUUCUUGUGUUUUUGCUCCUCCAGGUGGUAUUGUCGGUGUACUAGAGCAGGGGUACCCUAGUAUCCCGAACUUGUGCACGGGC